rnacentral:rRNA from 1 species
CAAAGGAAGCGAUUCCGGCAACGGAUGGGCAUGCGUGACAUUAGCUAGUUGGCGGGGCAACGGCCCACCAAGGCGACGAUGUCUAGGGGUUCUGAGAGGAAGGUCCCCCACACUGGUACUGAGACACGGACCAGACUCCUACGGGAGGCAGCAGUGAGGAAUAUUGGUCAAUGGGCGCGAGCCUGAACCAGCCAAGUCGCGUGAGGGAUGACGGCCCUACGGGUUGUAAACCUCUUUUGUCGGGGAGCAAAUUCCGCCACGUGUGGCGGAGUCGAGAGUACCCGAAGAAAAAGCAUCGGCUAACUCCGUGCCAGCAGCCGCGGUAAUACGGAGGAUGCGAGCGUUAUCCGGAUUUAUUGGGUUUAAAGGGUGCGUAGGCGGACUGUCAAGUCAGCGGUAAAAUACGGGGGCUCAACCUCCGCCCGCCGUUGAAACUGACGGUCUUGAGUGGGCGAGAAGUAUGCGGAAUGCGUGGUGUAGCGGUGAAAUGCAUAGAUAUCACGCAGAACUCCGAUUGCGAAGGCAGCAUACCGGCGCCCAACUGACGCUGAAGCACGAAAGCGUGGGUAUCGAACAGGAUUAGAUACCCUGGUAGUCCACGCAGUAAACGAUGAAUACUAGCUGUCCGGGGCGAAUGAGCCCU